UCCGGCUUAUCACCGGCAGUCCCUCUAGAGUGCUCCGGACAAGCCGGGUGGCAACAGAUCACAGGGGUUGCGCUCGUUGCGGGACUUAACCCAACAUCUCACGACACGAGCUGACGACAACCAUGCACCACCUGUAUACCGCCCUUGCGGACCCCAUGUCUCCAUGAGUUUUCGGUAUAUGUCAAGCCUUGGUAAGGUUCUUCGCGUUGCAUCGAAUUAAUCCGCAUGCUCCGCCGCUUGUGCGGGCCCCCGUCAAUUCCUUUGAGUUUCAGCCUUGCGGCCGUACUCCCCAGGCGGGGCACUUAAUGCGUUAGCUUCGACACCGAGGGGGUCGUUCCCUCCGGCAUCUAGUGCCCAUCGUUUACGGCGUGGACUAC
rnacentral:misc_RNA from 1 species